rnacentral:tRNA from 1 species
GGCGUCGUAGCUCAGUUGGUAGAGCAGCGGACUGAAAAUCCGUGUGUCACUGGUUCAACUCCAGUCGAUGCCA